rnacentral:rRNA from 1 species
AGUCGACGAACGGAGCUAGGAACUUGUUCCCGGCAAAGUUAGUGGCGCACGGGUGAGUAACACGUGGAGAACCUACCCUUUUGCGGGGGAUAACCAUUGGAAACGAUGACUAAUACCGCAUAGAAUCGCAGAUCGCAUGAUCAACGAAGGAAAGACGGCUUCGGCUGUCACAAAAGGAUGGCUCCGCGGUGCAUUAGCUAGAUGGUGGGGUAACGGCCUACCAUGGCAAUGAUGCAUAGCCGACCUGAGAGGGUGAUCGGCCACAUUGGGACUGAGACACGGCCCAAACUCCUACGGGAGGCAGCAGUAGGGAAUCUUCCGCAAUGGGCGCAAGCCUGACGGAGCAACGCCGCGUGUGUGAAGAAGGUCUUCGGAUCGUAAAGCACUGUUGUUAGAGAAGAACGACCGCUAGAGUAACUGUUAGCGGAGUGACGGUAUCUAACCAGAAAGCCACGGCUAACUACGUGCCAGCAGCCGCGGUAAUACGUAGGUGGCAAGCGUUGUCCGGAUUUAUUGGGCGUAAAGGGAGCGCAGGCGGUGACUUAAGUCUGAUGUGAAAGCCCACGGCUCAACCGUGGAGGGUCAUUGGAAACUGGGUCACUUGAGUGCAGAAGAGGAAAGUGGAAUUCCAUGUGUAGCGGUGAAAUGCGUAGAUAUAUGGAGGAACACCAGUGGCGAAGGCGACUUUCUGGUCUGUAACUGACGCUGAGGCUCGAAAGCGUGGGGAGCAAACAGGAUUAGAUACCCUGGUAGUCCACGCCGUAAACGAUGAGUGCUAAGUGUUGGAGGGUUUCCACCCUUCAGUGCUGGAGUUAACGCAAUAAGCACUCCGCC